UGCGGGAUGGAGCAGUUGGCAGCUCGUUGGGCUCAUAACCCAAAGGUCACAGGUUCGAGUCCUGUUCCCGCUA
rnacentral:tRNA from 1 species